UACGUAGGGGGCAAGCGUUGUCCGGAAUUAUUGGGCGUAAAGAGCGCGUAGGCGGUCUGAUAAGUCGGUUGUGAAAGUCGGGGGCUCAACCCUCGGAUGCCGAUCGAUACUGUCAGGCUAGAGUCCGGAAGAGGCGAGUGGAAUUCCUGGUGUAGCGGUGAAAUGCGCAGAUAUCAGGAGGAACACCAAUGGCGAAGGCAGCUCGCUGGGACGGUACUGACGCUGAGACGCGAAAGCGUGGGGAGCAAACAGG
rnacentral:rRNA from 1 species